rnacentral:rRNA from 1 species
AUUGAACGCUGGCGGCAGGCCUAACACAUGCAAGUCGAACGAGUGGCGGACGGGUGAGUAAUGUCUGGGAAACUGCCCGAUGGAGGGGGAUAACUACUGGAAACGGUAGCUAAUACCGCAUACCAUCGGAUGUUCCCAGAUGGGAUUAGCUAGUAGGUGGGGUAACGGCUCACCGAGUCGACGAUCCCUAGCUGGUCGGAGAGGAUGACCAGCCACACUGGAACUGAGACACGGUCCAGACUCCUACGGGAGGCAGCAGUGGGGAAUAUUGCACAAUGGGCGCAAGCCUGAUGCAGCCAUGCCGCGUGUAUGAAGAAGGCCUUCGGGUUGUAAAGUACUUUCAGCGGGGAGGCGUUACCCGCAGAAGAAGCACCGGCUAACUCCGUGCCAGCCGCCGCGGUAAUUC